GUGGCGGGGUUGCCUAUACAUGCAGUCGAGCGGACCGACGGGAGCUUGCUCCCUUAGGUCAGCGGCGGACGGGUGAGUAACACGUGGGUAACCUGCCUGUAAGACUGGGAUAACUCCGGGAAACCGGGGCUAAUACCGGAUGCUUGAUUGAACCGCAUGGUUCAAUCAUAAAAGGUGGCUUUUAGCUACCACUUACAGAUGGACCCGCGGCGCAUUAGCUAGUUGGUGAGGUAACGGCUCACCAAGGCGACGAUGCGUAGCCGACCUGAGAGGGUGAUCGGCCACACUGGGACUGAGACACGGCCCAGACUCCUACGGGAGGCAGCAGUAGGGAAUCUUCCGCAAUGGACGAAAGUCUGACGGAGCAACGCCGCGUGAGUGAUGAAGGUUUUCGGAUCGUAAAACUCUGUUGUUAGGGAAGAACAAGUACCGUUCGAAUAGGGCGGCACCUUGACGGUACCUAACCAGAAAGCCACGGCUAACUACGUGCCAGCAGCCGCGGUAAUACGUAGGUGGCAAGCGUUGUCCGGAAUUAUUGGGCGUAAAGCGCGCGCAGGCGGUUUCUUAAGUCUGAUGUGAAAGCCCCCGGCUCAACCGGGGAGGGUCAUUGGAAACUGGGGAACUUGAGUGCAGAAGAGGAGAGUGGAAUUCCACGUGUAGCGGUGAAAUGCGUAGAGAUGUGGAGGAACACCAGUGGCGAAGGCGACUCUCUGGUCUGUAACUGACGCUGAGGCGCGAAAGCGUGGGGAGCGAACAGGAUUAGAUACCCUGGUAGUCCACGCCGUAAACGAUGAGUGCUAAGUGUUAGAGGGUUUCCGCCCUUUAGUGCUGCAGCAAACGCAUUAAGCACUCCGCCUGGGGAGUACGGUCGCAAGACUGAAACUCAAAGGAAUUGACGGGGGCCCGCACAAGCGGUGGAGCAUGUGGUUUAAUUCGAAGCAACGCGAAGAACCUUACCAGGUCUUGACAUCCUCUGACAACCCUAGAGAUAGGGCUUC
rnacentral:rRNA from 1 species